UAGUGGAAUGGGUCAUUAGGAUUCGGGAAAUUCUACAGUAAAAGGGCAUAGUAAGGAUGUACGCGAUGUUACUUUAGGAGUAGGCGUGGCUGUGGAUAGGGGGAAAUCAGCCUUAUCCAUUCCCAUAUAUUAUUCCUUUUGUCUUCAGUAUAUCCAAACCAUGUGUAUGUCCAGGCGUUGCAAUAUACAGUAAUCCAUUAUCAGUCAUGAUAGUAAAAUCUCAUUCUCAUUAAUUAAAUCAAAGAUUUUAAAUCAACCUCAGAAGUAACAACAUUGUUUUUACCUUCUGUAAAAUGAUUGGAGUUACUGUAUAAUUGCAUACACCCAAUAUAACAUACAUUGCAUGUUCCUCACUGCUACAUUAGUGUAUUUCAUUCUGCCAUAUUUGCAAACUUGAUGUACAUUUUUAUUUUAAUUAAUUAACCUAAUACUUUCUUAAAAUACAUAUAAAACAAUGAAAAAACAGUUCAGACUAACAUUUCAUUAAAACAAACUAACAUAGAACUCUAUUCUUGGCUGUUCUUAAUUCUGGAAUCAGCCUGUGUACCUCUGUUGGCAGACAUAUCCAUGCUCAUUCCCUAAACUGAUCAUAUCUCUUGAAGUUAUCUGAUUCUUAUAACUUUCUGUGUUACGCUGCAUUGCUUGUCUGUCUCCUAAUUUCGAUUUAGCUAAAAUUGCUUUUAUUUGUCUGAUUAUAAGUUUACAAGGAAAGGCUUUAAUUGAUUUAUCUCCACAUGUAUUUUCUCUGUCAAAAUUUUCAAUCAACAAAUUUAAUUUCUCAUUUGCUUUUGAUUUGAUAUCUCGGAUAAAAUAUCUGCAAGAUCUUAAAUAAUGUUGUUUAUUGCACCAAAAACAAAUAACUUUAGGAGUUAUAUUCUGCCCUAUAUUAUCAACUGCCCUAUAUUUAGUUGAAUAAAUUGGGAGGGGCUCAGCUGUCUGGAGGGGCUCAGCUGUCUGUAUCACUCUACACUCUGUCCUAGAAGAAGAAGAAGAAGGAGGGGGACGGGGGCUGUAACAUCUGCACUUCUUUCUCUGCCUAAAGCCACAAGUCGUUUUAACCCCUUCAUUCUUGGUUUCCCUCCUUAAGUUAUCCAAGAACAAAGCUACUUCUGUCAAAGUGCUUUUUUCUCUAGCUACCACAAUUGCAGUUGAAUCUAGAUCUUGAAUUUUUUUCACAAAUUCAUUAAUUAACUGAUCUUCAGAAAAAUCAGCAACAAGUCUAUAUGCAUUUUCAAAUUUUACAAGAAAACUAAAUAUAUCCUCCCCCUUGUGUGGUUUUAGUUUUUCCAACAUUUCAGUGUCUGCAAAAUCAUUCCCUGUUGUUAAUUUUAUUAAUUGUGUUAAUCUGUCUCGCUUAUUUCCAUAUAUUAUUUCACCAUUGUCCUCAAAUUUUACAAUCGCGGUCAGCCUACAUGCCAUUUGAGUCGGCAGCCAUAUUUGAAAUAGUCUAUUCCUUUGUACGUCAUUUAGGCUGUAUUUGUCUAAAUUAGACUCAAACAUUUCAGCAUUAGUGAAUGCAUCCACUGACGUGUCAUAAACUGGAAUACAUUUCACAAUUUUCAUUAAUUGUUCAUGGAUCUUCAAAUUAAGUUUUGCAGCUCUGUCUUGAAAUUUAUAUUUCUGCAAAUCACUCUGUGAGGAUACAUUUUCAGUAUCUAUUGGUUCUGGGAUUAGAUUCUGUGCCUUUAUUUUUCUUGUAUUAACACACACUCGUGCUUAACUUCAUUUCUAAGCUGGCAAAUAAGAUCAUUUCUUAGUUCAACUCUAUCCUCUAAUUCACAGACUGUUUCUGACAAUGUUCUCUCUGUUACAUUGUUACACUGUUCAUUUAAAUCUGAUUUGUCUUCUGUUAACCCAUUCAAAUCUAUUUCUUUUUCUGCUGAUUCUAAAUUUUCUUUACCUGUAUUUCGUUUACAAAUCAAUGCAUUGUAAGUACAGACUAGUUUCAUAACAUUUCUGAUCUUUUUUUUUUUUUUUUUUUCUUAUUAACAAACAAUUUCUUGUCAAUUUCACUAUUGGCAAUUUCACAUUGUGUGUAUAAAGAUUGCCACAAAACAGCAUCUGAAUAGCUGCUAUUAAAUGCAAACUGCAAUUUACUUUUCUCUGCGAUAUCAUUUAUAAAUUCCACAAUUCAUUUGUUCCAACAAAAUCUAACUUUCCUUAUUCCAACAUGCCAAUAACCUCUUACUUAACAACAUAUACAAGAUUACACAAAGUUCCUAACUAGGUUAUUCGUCCAGCAAAUAUACCUUGUUUCCCUCACAUUCCUCACUGAGUUUACAAGCAUUUCACCCAUUCACCCCCCCCCCUGUAGCCAAUACUCAUAGCAGUCAGAGCAAGAGAAAGCAACAAAGAAGGAGGGGGGAGGAGGGAGGAAGACUUGCAAGCACAAAGUUUUUUAACCAUGUGAUUGCCUAAGCACAGCUCUCCUUAGGACAAAAGAUAGAAUAGGAGAGUAACGAUACAAAUUGUAUAGAUUACAAUUAACAUAUAUGGUACCCAACAAGACAUACACAGACAAAAGCACAAAAUACAGAUGUAAUUAAAUCACAAAGUUCUUAAAAUAAAUGCCGGCUUAUAAUAAAUCAAAUCACAC